rnacentral:rRNA from 1 species
GAUGAACGCUGGCGGCGUGCCUAAUACAUGCAAGUCGAGCGAACGGACGAGAAGCUUGCUUCUCUGAUGUUAGCGGCGGACGGGUGAGUAACACUUGGAUAACCUACCUAUAAGACUGGGAUAACUUCGGGAAACCGGAGCUAAUACCGGCUAAUAUUUUGAACCGCAUGGUUCAAAAGUGAAAGACGGUCUUGCUGUCACUUAUAGAUGGAUCCGCGCUGCAUUAGCUAGUUGGUAAGGUAACGGCUUACCAAGGCAACGAUGCAUAGCCGACCUGAGAGGGUGAUCGGCCACACUGGAACUGAGACACGGUCCAGACUCCUACGGGAGGCAGCAGUAGGGAAUCUUCCGCAAUGGGCGAAAGCCUGACGGAGCAACGCCGCGUGAGUGAUGAAGGUCUUCGGAUCGUAAAACUCUGUUAUUAGGGAAGAACAUAUGUGUAAGUAACUGUGCACAUCUUGACGGUACCUAAUCAGAAAGCCACGGCUAACUACGUG